GUGGGAGAGAUUAUAGAUAGAACUUUAAAAAAGACUGCGUUGGUACGAACUGGUAGGGAGAGAUGUUACGAUCAUUAGAUUCAGAGCUGCUGGAGGAGUCAUCAGCAAGUGGUUGCCCCAGCACCAGUCAAGCAGGACAGAAAAUAAAAGAGUGGGAUGGUGAAGCAAAAGCAGCAGUGCAUCUGGUACCAAGGAGAAAGGGCACAUGGUUUUAAUUAUAAUUUUUCAACUAUGAAUCUUUCAGCACUAAUGGAUGGCUGGUCAUACUGGAGAGCAGUUAUGGCAAACAGAAAUCCUUUCUUCAUGAAACGCGGCAGGUUGUCAUAGACCAACGAAACCAAGCAGUGUUGACUUCUUUUCACUGUCAAAUUAGCGCCGUCUGAGGAAAGUGAAAAGUUACAGUUUGAAAAAUCUGAAGAGGAGUCUUCCCAAAUGCUGAGAUUUGCCUGGAGGAAGGAGAAAAGGAACCAUUGUCAAAUUCUGGACUGGAGUGAACUGUAAUGCUGAAGUUGUGGCUGAAAAACAGAGAACAACUGAAGCUGUCCCCCUUGCUUCACACAGGAGCACAGCAGCUCCAGGUGUGGGGGCAGAUGACCUAUCUCAAAGACCUUCUACCUCACAUCACGUCAGGAACCAAUCUUUAAUGGUGAUAGAGAAAGAACUGCACGAGCCUAUUCACUGUACUUACUGCCAGGCACUGCAGAAGCUCAGGGAUGCAGAGACACCUCGUUGGGCUUGGUUCAAUCAUGGGAGAAGUGGAGCUCCUGUCACCAGUCCCUGC
ensembl:lncRNA